CUUAGAAACAACUUUCCGAUACGACACUGCAAGGUACCAGACGGGAGGCGACAUAAUUGCCAAAUAUUUCGUAUGGAGUUUUAUUCAUUUUUGAAUGUUUCCGUAUCACCAUGCAUUUAUCUUUUGUGACGAAAGAGUAGCCUACUAUUAUUUAAGAAGGAUGCAGGCACGUGCUUCUUUUUAUUUAUGCACCAUCCUAGCAAGUAAGGAGCUCAUAAUCCCGUUUAAAAGAAAAAAAAAAGGCUUUUUAGUUUGUGAGGGAGAGCGCCCAGCAACCGGCCAGACCCAAACCUAUCUUCCCUUGGUCGUAUCCUCCUCCACACACUUCGCCUGCGCCGCCGCCCAUUCUCCUCUCCAGGCCUUCUCUCUCGGCGACCUCGUCCGGAGCAGACGGACUUCCUUCUUCUCUACUUCCGGCAAGCGCGAGCUCCUCUGGAGCCAGCUCGUUUCAGCACCCACCACCAUCGUCGACAGCCCGUGUCCGAGCUUGCCUCUUUCCUCCAGUCCUCCGUCCGGGUCAAGAUUUAUUUUGGUCGCUCCACUCAUUUGAUGCCGGCAACACCCUCCUUUAAUUCCUUUCCUUUAAUUCAUGCAGGCAGCGGAUCUCAUACCAACCAAUGGUGUUAUUUCUUCAUGAUUCCCUUGCUGAUAUUCCAGGCAAAUUCGAAGGUAUAUAAACCGGUGAAAUUGAUUGUACGGAAGCGAUGUGGGACUAUUGAACCUAGAAAAUCAAAGCUACGCUUUCGUUGGAUGGAUUUGCCGGUUGCGCGCUUUGGUGAAUAUCUGUUAGGCCUAAGAAAGAGGAAGCCCAAGUUCAUGGGCUGCGUAUGAAGGAGGUACGUCCGAUGUGAAGGCCGUUCGCGGAACCGUUUUUUCUCUCUCGACGAACCAUUUUCGUGACUAAGCGGUGGCACUGCUUGUAAAUAUUUCUAAAAAGUAUGGAUAGAUCUAAAACGGACGAAAAUAGAGGGGAGAAACCUUCCUUCCUUUAUUAGUAGGUAUAGGUAUAGAUUAGUCCUAGGGACGAUGGAUUGUUCUGCAGCCUGUAGUAUAUAGUUUGUGAAUGUAGAAACAAGGCUGGGUUGUAUGAUUUCUUAUCAGGGUAAAAAUUGUGUGGCACGGCUUAGCUGUGCACUUGUAUUGUGUUAUCUUUGUUCCAUCCUACUCUGUAAGCUUCACGUUUAUAUUUACAUGAAUACAUAUUGUUCA